CAGUGGGGAAUAUUGGACAAUGGGGGGAACCCUGAUCCAGCCAUGCCGCGUGUGUGAAGAAGGCCUUUUGGUUGUAAAGCACUUUAAGCGGGGAGGAGGCUACCGAAGUUAAUACCUUUGGAUAGUGGACGUUACCCGCAGAAUAAGCACCGGCUAACUCUGUGCCAGCAGCCGCGGUAAUACAGAGGGUGCAAGCGUUAAUCGGAUUUACUGGGCGUAAAGCGCGCGUAGGCGGCUAAUUAAGUCGGAUGUGAAAUCCCCGAGCUCAACUUGGGAAUUGCAUUCGAUACUGGUUAGCUAGAGUGUAGGAGAGGAUGGUAGAAUUCCAGGUGUAGCGGUGAAAUGCGUAGAGAUCUGGAGGAAUACCGAUGGCGAAGGCAGCCAUCUGGCCUAACACUGACGCUGAGGUGCGAAAGCAUGGGGAGCAAACAGGAUUAGAUACCCUGGUAGUCCAUGCUGUAAACGAUGUCUACUAGCCGUUGGGGUCUUUGAGACUUUAGUGGCGCAGCUAACGCGAUAAGUAGA
rnacentral:rRNA from 1 species